AUCCCAAUAGCUCAGUGGUUAGAGCACUGGUACGUUGAACCAGAAACCUUGUGUUCGAUUCACAGUUGGGACU